rnacentral:rRNA from 1 species
GACAGAGGGUGCAAACGUUGUUCGGAAUUACUGGGCGUAAAGCGCGUGUAGGCGGCUCUGUAAGUCGGGUGUGAAAUCCCACGGCUCAACCGUGGAAGUGCACUCGAAAACUACAGGGCUAGAGUCCUGGAGAGGAAGGUGGAAUGCUUGGUGUAGAGGUGAAAUUCGUAGAUAUCAAGCGGAACACCGGUGGCGAAGGCGGCCUCUGGACAGUGACUGACGCUGAGACGCGAAAGCGUGGGGAGCAAACAGG